GCAAGUCGAACGAGACCUUCGGGGUUAGUGGCGCACGGGUGCGGAACACGUGGGAAUGUACCUUCUGGUAAGGAAUAAUAUUUGGAAACGAAUACUAAUACCUUAUAAUAUCUUCGGAUCAAAGAUUUAUCGCCAGAAGAUCAGCCCGCGCAUGAUUAGAUAGUUGGUGAGGUAAUGGCUCACCAAGUCUACGAUCAUUAGCUGGUCUGAGAGGAUGAUC
rnacentral:rRNA from 1 species